AGCCCUCCUCGGCCAAUUACCGUGUGGGGGGUGGAGCUACCUCUCUGCGGGCGCAUCUGGAGCUGCGCAGGGCUGCAGAAGGGGGACCAGCCAAGGCGAGCUCUGAGGGACCCUGGCCCGGAAUUGGAGCAGGUGUGCCGGCCUUAGGUCAGAGGUGCCUGCUUAUCCACACCUGACAGCACUUCUCCACUCUGGCUCCAUGAGGCCCGAAGUUUUGGAAUCAGCGUUCUGAGUCAGUCAUGCAUCUUGUCUCAGGAUGUUGGCGUUCCAAGAAGGCAGCAGACACGUUCGGCGCAAUGCCAUAUUCAUGUCCGGAUGGGAGGCAAUCCCUUGGAUUUGAAAGGGAAGAUGAGAUGGACUCGGUGUGUGUUUGGAACCUAGAAUGCAUUCCUUCCUCGAACAGUGUUGAUUCCAUGGGUCCUAGGCUGUGGGGAAUGGCCGGCAUCUACAGUGAGGUGGCUGUUUGUGGUCAGAGGCAGACUUUGAUGAUGUCAUUUUUCAAAGGUGAAGUUUCAUAAUUGAUUAGUCUUUUCAUCAAAAGAGUUACAAUUAGGGUCAAGGGAAGAUUAAAAAUUAUUCAAAGUAGACAUUUACCAUUUAAAAGGAAAGCUUGACUUUCUAGUUUGACUCUGUAUUGUCUAGAUAUUUGGACGUGCUGUAUUUUCUCUGCAGUUUCCUUGGUAGUGGA